rnacentral:lncRNA from 1 species
UUGCAAACAUUUUUACCAAAGUUUCCUAAAAAACGAUCUCAAACUUAUUUUCAUCAUUACUAUUCAUGACAGCGAUGUUCAAUUUGUUCAACCGCUAGCUUUAUACAGAAAAUCGCCGAUAAAUAAUGUGUAAAUCCGAGUAAAAUCGUAUCUCACUUUCUGUCAAAAACAACAUUGUAAACAAAAUGGCUGCCGCGAGAUUACAAUAUCGGAUCCGAUUCCGGAAGCGGAUAAGGGUAAUCCCGGGUUUUGAGGCUAUCAACUAAAAAAAUCCAGACAGGUGACAAAAUACAGCUAUGCAUGGUAAAUAAAUAUAAACUAGAAUUGAAAACCAAAAUUGUUUAAAAGAAAGAAAAAACAGAAAAUAUUGUGUACACCAAUUUUAAUGUCAAAAUCCAAUACAAGUGACAGCUGGGAACCAAG